rnacentral:rRNA from 1 species
GAUGAACGCUGGCGGUGUGCUUAACACAUGCAAGUCGAACGGUAAGGCCCUUCGGGGUACACGAGUGGCGAACGGGUGAGUAACACGUGGGUGAUCUGCCCUGCACUUCGGGAUAAGCCUGGGAAACUGGGUCUAAUACCGGAUAGGACCACUGCCUGCAUGGGUGGUGGUGGAAAGCUUUUGCGGUGUGGGAUGGGCCCGCGGCCUAUCAGCUUGUUGGUGGGGUGAUGGCCUACCAAGGCGACGACGGGUAGCCGGCCUGAGAGGGUGACCGGCCACACUGGGACUGAGAUACGGCCCAGACUCCUACGGGGGGCAGCAGUGGGGAAUAUUGCACAAUGGGCGCAGGCCUGAUGCAGCGACGCCGCGUGAGGGAUGACGGCCUUCGGGUUGUAAACCUCUUUCAGCACCGACGAAGCGCAAGUGACGGUAGGUGCAGAAGAAGGACCGGCCAACUACGUGCCAGCAGCCGCCGUAA